rnacentral:rRNA from 1 species
UCUAAGUACGAAGCCAGCCACAAGAUUAGAUUUCUUAGGGUCGUCAAAGACGAUGACGUUGAUAGGAUGCAGGUGUACAGGUGGUAACAUCAUAGCCGAGCAUUACUAAUUGCCCGUUCACUUUCUUUC